rnacentral:rRNA from 1 species
ACUAGAGUAUGAUUGAGGUAAGCGGAAUUUCUAGUGUAGAGGUGAAAUUCGUAGAUAUUAGAAAGAACACCAAUUGCGAAGGCAGCUUUCUGGAUCAUUACUGACACUGAGGUGCGAAAGCAUGGGUAGCGAAGAGGAUUAGAUACCCUCGUAGUCCAUGCCGUAAACGAUGUGUGCUAGACGUUGGGAAUUUAUUUUUCAGUGUCGCAGCAAAAGCGUUAAGCACACCGCCUGGGGAGUACGACCGCAAGGUUAAAACUCAAAUGAAUUGACGGGGACCCGCACAAGUAGUGGAGCAUGUGGUUUAAUUCGAAGAUACGCGCAGAACCUUACCAACACUUGACAUGUUCGUCGCGACUCUAAGAGAUUAGAGUUUUCGGUUCGGCCGGACGAAACACAGGUGCUGCAUGGCUGUCGUCAGCUCGUGUCGUGAGAUGUUGGGUUAAGUCCCGCAACGAGCGCAACCCUUACUUUUAGUUGCUACCAUUUAGUUGGGCACUCUAAAAGAACUGCCAGUGAUAAGCUGGAGGAAGGUGGGGAUGACGUCAAGUCCUCAUGGCCCUUAUGUGUUGGGCUACACACGUGCUACAAUGGUAUUUACAGUGGGAUGCAAAGAGGCAACUCCAAGCAAACCCUCAAAAAAUACCUCAGUUCGGAUUGUACUCUGCAACUCGAGUACAUGAAGCUGG